ACGGGAGGCAGCAGUGGGGGAUAUUGCACAAUGGAGGAAACUCUGAUGCAGCAACGCCGCGUGAGGGAAGAAGGUCUUCGGAUUGUAAACCUUUGUUUUUAGUGAAGAAAUAAAUGACGGUAGCUAAAGAGGAAGCCACGGCUAACUACGUGCCAGCAGCCGCGGUAAUACGUAGGUGGCAAGCGUUGUCCGGAUUUACUGGGUGUAAAGGGUGCGCAGGCGGGACUGCAAGUUGGAUGUGAAAUACCGAGGCUUAACCACGGAGCUGCAUCCAAAACUGUGGUUCUUGAGUGGAGUAGAGGUAAGCGGAAUUCCGAGUGUAGCGGUGAAAUGCGUAGAUAUUCGGAGGAACACCAGUGGCGAAGGCGGCUUACUGGGCUCUAACUGACGCUGAGGCACGAGAGCAUGGGGAGCAAACAGGAUUAGAUACCCUGGUA
rnacentral:rRNA from 1 species